AAGUGUUGUUAGUUCAGCUUAGUAGAACGUGGGUCUCCAAAACCCAAUGUCGUAGGCUCAAAUCCUACCGGACUUA